rnacentral:rRNA from 1 species
CCUACGGGAGGCAGCAGUGAGGAAUAUUGGUCAAUGGCCGAAAGGCUGAACCAGCCAAGUAGCGUGAAGGAAGAAGGCUCUAUGGGUUGUAAACUUCUUUUAUAGGGGAAUAAAGCGAUCCACGUGUGCAUAUUUGCAUGUACUCUAUGAAUAAGCAUCGGCUAACUCCGUGCCAGCAGCCGCGGUAAUACGGAGGAUGCGAGCGUUAUCCGGAUUUAUUGGGUUUAAAGGGGGCGUAGGUGGGUUUUUAAGUCAGCGGUGAAAGUUUGUGGCUCAACCUUAAAAUUGCCGUUGAUACUGGAAGUCGUGAGUAUGUUUGAGGUAAGCGGAAUUCGUGGUGUAGCGGUGAAAUGCUUAGAUAUCACGAAGAACUCCGAUUGCGAAGGCAGCUUACUAAGCCAUAACUGACACUGAUGCACGAAAGCGUGGGGAUCAAACAGGAUUAGAUACCCUGGUAGUC